rnacentral:rRNA from 1 species
GACGUAGGGGGCAAGCGUUGUCCGGAUUUAUUGGGCGUAAAGAGCGCGUAGGCGGCCAGAUAGGUCCGUUGUGAAAACUCGAGGCUCAACCUCGAGACGCCGAUGGAAACCAUUUGGCUAGAGUCCGGAAGAGGAGAGUGGAAUUCCUGGUGUAGCGGUGAAAUGCGCAGAUAUCAGGAAGAACACCCGUGGCUAAGGCGGCUCUCUAGUACGGUACUGACGCUGAGACGCGAAAGCGUGGGGAGCGAACAGG